rnacentral:rRNA from 1 species
GACGAACGCUGGCGGCGUGCCUAACACAUGCAAGUCGAACGGAGAUACGAUUUCGGUUGUAUCUUAGUGGCGAACGGGUGAGUAACGCGUGAGCAACCUGACCUUCAGAGGGGGAUAGCAUUUGGAAACAGAUGCUAAUACCGCAUAAGACCACGCCGUGGCAUCACGGAGAGGUCAAAGGCGGAAUCCGCUGAAUGAGGGGCGCGCGUCCCAUUAGAUAGAUGGCGGGGUAACGGCCCACCAUGUCGACGAUGGGUAGCCGAGCUGAGAGGCUGAUCGGCAACACUGGAACUGAGACACGGUCCAGACUCCUACGGGAGGCAGCAGUGGGGAAUAUUGGGCAAUGGGCGCAAGCCUGACCCAGCAACGCCGCGUGAGGGAAGAAGGCUUUCGGGUUGUAAACCUCUGUCCUUGGUGACGAAAAAAAUGACGGUAGCCAAGGAGGAAGCCCCGGCUAACUACGUGCCAGCAGCCGCAGUAACAC